GAUGAACGCUGGCGGCGUGCCUAAUACAUGCAAGUCGAGCGAACGGACGAGAAGCUUGCUUCUCUGAUGUUAGCGGCGGACGGGUGAGUAACACGUGGAUAACCUACCAAUAAGACUGGGAUAACUUCGGGAAACCGGAGCUAAUACCGGAUAAUAUUUUGAACCGCAUGGUUCAAAAGUGAAAGACGGUCUUGCUGUCACUUAUAGAUGGAUCCGCGCUGCAUUAGCUAGUUGGUAAGGUAACGGCUUACCAAGGCAACGAUGCAUAGCCGACCUGAGAGGGUGAUCGGCCACACUGGAACUGAGACACGGUCCAGACUCCUACGGGAGGCAGCAGUAGGGAAUCUUCCGCAAUGGGCGAAAGCCUGACGGAGCAACGCCGCGUGAGUGAUGAAGGUCUUCGGAUCGUAAAACUCUGUUAUUAGGGAAGAACACAUGUGUAAGUAACUGUGCACAUCUUGACGGUACCUAAUCAGAAAGCCACGGCUAACUACGUG
rnacentral:rRNA from 1 species